rnacentral:rRNA from 1 species
UACGUAGGGUGCGAGCGUUGUCCGGAAUUAUUGGGCGUAAAGGGCUCGUAGGCGGUUUGUCGCGUCGGGAGUGAAAUCCACUGGCUUAACUGGUGGCUUGCUUUCGAUACGGGCAGACUGGAGGUAUGCAGGGGAGAACGGAAUUCCUGGUGUAGCGGUGAAAUGCGCAGAUAUCAGGAGGAACACCGGUGGCGAAGGCGGUUCUCUGGGACGGUAUUGACGCUAAGGCGCGAAAGCGUGGGGAGCAAACAGG